rnacentral:rRNA from 1 species
UACGUAGGGUGCAAGCGUUGUCCGGAAUUAUUGGGCGUAAAGAGCUCGUAGGCGGUUUGUUGCGUCGGCUGUGAAAUCCCGAGGCUCAACCUCGGGUCUGCAGUCGAUACGAGCAAACUAGAGUGUUGCAGGGGAGACUGGAAUUCCUGGUGUAGCGGUGAAAUGCGCAGAUAUCAGGAGGAACACCGGUGGCGAAGGCGGCAUCCUGGACCGACACUGACGCUGAGGAGCGAAAGCCAGGGGAGCAAACGGG